GACGAACGCUGGCGGCGUGCCUAAUACAUGCAAGUAGAACGCUGAAGGAGGAGCUUGCUUCUCUGGAUGAGUUGCGAACGGGUGAGUAACGCGUAGGUAACCUGCCUGGUAGCGGGGGAUAACUAUUGGAAACGAUAGCUAAUACCGCAUAAUAGCAGUUGUUGCAUGACAACUGUUUGAAAGGUGCAAUUGCACCACUACCAGAUGGACCUGCGUUGUAUUAGCUAGUUGGUGGGGUAACGGCUCACCAAGGCGACGAUGCAUAGCCGACCUGAGAGGGGGGUCGGCCACACUGGGACUGAGACACGGCCCAGACUCCUACGGGAGGCAGCAGUAGGGAAUCGUCGGCAAUGGACGGAAGUCUGACCGAGCAACGCCGCGUGAGUGAAGAAGGUUUUCGGAUCGUAAAGCUCUGUUGUAAGAGAAGAACGAGUGUGAGAGUGGAAAGUUCACACUGUGACGGUAUCUUACCAGAAAGGGACGGCUAACUACGUG
rnacentral:rRNA from 1 species